AACCCUGAAGGUUAGGAAAAAGUUUAUCAACCAUGAAGGUUGAAAAAAGGUUCAUCAACCGUGAAGGUUGGAACAAAAGGUUAUCAACCAGGAAGGUUGAAAAAAGGUUCACCAGCCAUGAAGGUUGGAAACAAAAGAUUAUCAACCAUGAAGGUUGAAAUAAGAUUUAUCAACCAUGAAGGUUGAAAUAAGAUUUAUCAACCAUGAAGGAUGAAAUAAGAUUUUUGGAAACAAAAGGUCAUCAACCAUGAAGGUUGAAAAAAGAACCAUGAAGGUUGAAAUAAGAUUUAUCAACCAUGAAGGUUGAAAUAAGAUUUAUCAACCAUGAAGGAUGAAAUAAGAUUUUUGGAAACAAAAG
rnacentral:lncRNA from 1 species